AUUGAACGCUGGCGGCAGGCUUAACACAUGCAAGUCGAGCGGGGUGAUGGUGCUUGCACUAUCACUUAGCGGCGGACGGGUGAGUAAUGCUUAGGAAUCUGCCUAUUAGUGGGGGACAACAUCUCGAAAGGGAUGCUAAUACCGCAUACGUCCUACGGGAGAAAGCAGGGGAUCACUUGUGACCUUGCGCUAAUAGAUGAGCCUAAGUCGGAUUAGCUAGUUGGUGGGGUAAAGGCCUACCAAGGCGACGAUCUGUAGCGGGUCUGGGAGGAUGACCCGGCACACUGGGACUGGGACACGGCCCAGACUCCUACGGGAGGCAGCAGUGGGGAAUGUUGGACAAUGGGGGGAACCCUGAUCCAGCCAUGCCGCGUGUGUGAAGAAGGCCUUAUGGUUGUAAAGCACUUUAAGCGAGGAGGAGGCUCUUUUGGUUAAUACCCAAGAUGAGUGGACGUUACUCGCAGAAUAAGCACCGGCUAACUCUGUGCCAGCCGCCGCCGUAA
rnacentral:rRNA from 1 species